rnacentral:lncRNA from 1 species
GCACACGGUCACAGUGCGCGUUAUCAAAUGAUAAAUUAAAUUGUAAGUUAACCUCAAAUUUUAAUGGUCAGCUGGUUUUAAGCCAGACACUAGGAAUUUAUGGAAUGAACCAUUUUUAACCAAUCACAGUGUCUUAAAUGGUUUGCCAAUAAAAUUAUAGAAUUCCUAUGAUUUAGAAUUAGGAAUAAAUGAAAUAAAGGGAACAGGAAAGUAAAUAAAAACUUAACCUCGAAAUAUUUCAUGGAAAAAUAUGUUGGUGUUUCUCGCUCUCAUUUACAUGUCAAAAAUUUUCAGUAGCCGGCAAUUGUGAUUUGUAUUGAAUAUUUCGUAAUUACUGGCUCCCAGAUACUUUGAUUGCAUUGUUUUGGCUUUCCAUCAGGUACUGCUUAGUUACAAAGCUGCUGCCCUAUCGUAAUCGGAGGACUAAGCAACAAGGACGGAACUGAGGAUAUACCUGCAUCAGUCAAAUCAGAAUUUGAUCAACUAUGUGAACUCAUCAUCAGCUGCUACUUUUUUAACUGUUCAUACUUUAAGGUAUCCUACAGUCAUAUACAUUCAAAUCAUUGAGCUCUAAUACCUGCAGAGGUAAGCGUGUCACUCUCAUCA